GAUGAAGAACGCAGCGAAACGCGAUAAGUAAUGUGAAUUGCAGAAUUCAGUGAAUCAUCGUAUCUUUGAACGCACCUUGCGCUCUUUGGUAUUCCGAAGAGCAUGCCUGUUUGAGUGUCAUGAAAAUAUCAACCUUGACUUGGGUUUUGUGCUCUAGUCUCGGCUUGGAAUUGGGUGCUUGCCGCUUUUACGAGCGGCUCACCUUAAAUGUAUUAGCUGGAUCUGUCUUUGAGACUUGGUUUGACUUGGCGUAAUAAGUAUUUCGCUAAGGACAUUCUUCGGAGUGGCCUCGUUUCUAGGACGCUUGUCCGCUUUCCAAUACAAGUUCCACCUCGUGGACAUGACUUUUUAUUAUCUGGCCUCAAAUCAGGUAGGACUACCCGCUGAACUUAAGCAUAUCAAUAAGCGGAGGA
rnacentral:misc_RNA from 1 species